GAGUUUGAUCCUGGCUCAGAUUGAACGCUGGCGGCAUGCUUUACACAUGCAAGUCGGACGGCAGCACAGAGAAGCUUGCUUCUCGGGUGGCGAGUGGCGAACGGGUGAGUAACAUAUCGGAACGUACCGAGUAGUGGGGGAUAACUGAUCGAAAGAUCAGCUAAUACCGCAUACGUCUUGAGAGAGAAAGCAGGGGACCUUUGGGCCUUGCGCUAUUCGAGCGGCCGAUAUCUGAUUAGCUAGUUGGUGGGGUAAAGGCCUACCAAGGCGACGAUCAGUAGCGGGUCUGAGAGGAUGAUCCGCCACACUGGGACUGAGACACGGCCCAGACUCCUACGGGAGGCAGCAGUGGGGAAUUUUGGACAAUGGGCGCAAGCCUGAUCCAGCCAUGCCGCGUGUCUGAAGAAGGCCUUCGGGUUGUAAAGGACUUUUGUCAGGGAAGAAAAGGCUGUUGCUAAUACCAGCGGCCGAUGACGGUACCUGAAGAAUAAGCACCGGCUAACUACGUGCCAGCAGCCGCGGUAAUACGUAGGGUGCGAGCGUUAAUCGGAAUUACUGGGCGUAAAGCGGGCGCAGACGGUUACUUAAGCAGGAUGUGAAAUCCCCGGGCUCAACCCGGGAACUGCGUUCUGAACUGGGUGACUCGAGUGUGUCAGAGGGAGGUAGAAUUCCACGUGUAGCAGUGAAAUGCGUAGAGAUGUGGAGGAAUACCGAUGGCGAAGGCAGCCUCCUGGGAUAACACUGACGUUCAUGCCCGAAAGCGUGGGUAGCAAACAGGAUUAGAUACCCUGGUAGUCCACGCCCUAAACGAUGUCAAUUAGCUGUUGGGCAACUUGAUUGCUUAGUAGCGUAGCUAACGCGUGAAAUUGACCGCCUGGGGAGUACGGUCGCAAGAUUAAAACUCAAAGGAAUUGACGGGGACCCGCACAAGCGGUGGAUGAUGUGGAUUAAUUCGAUGCAACGCGAAGAACCUUACCUGGUCUUGACAUGUACGGAAUCCUCCAGAGACGGAGGAGUGCCUUCGGGAGCCGUAACACAGGUGCUGCAUGGCUGUCGUCAGCUCGUGUCGUGAGAUGUUGGGUUAAGUCCCGCAACGAGCGCAACCCUUGUCAUUAGUUGCCAUCAUUCAUUGGGCACUCUAAUGAGACUGCCGGUGACAAGCCGGAGGAAGGUGGGGAUGACGUCAAGUCCUCAUGGCCCUUAUGACCAGGGCUUCACACGUCAUACAAUGGUCGGUACAGAGGGUAGCCAAGCCGCGAGGCGGAGCCAAUCUCACAAAACCGAUCGUAGUCCGGAUUGCACUCUGCAACUCGAGUGCAUGAAGUCGGAAUCGCUAGUAAUCGCAGGUCAGCAUACUGCGGUGAAUACGUUCCCGGGUCUUGUACACACCGCCCGUCACACCAUGGGAGUGGGGGAUACCAGAAGUAGGUAGGGUAACCGCAAGGAGUCCGCUUACCACGGUAUGCUUCAUGACUGGGGUGAAGUCGUAACAAGGUAGCCGUAGGGGAACCUGCGGCUGGAUCACC
rnacentral:rRNA from 1 species